rnacentral:misc_RNA from 1 species
AUGGUCAGCACCACUGUCCCUGGCUCACUGAUCUUGAAGCUGUUCUUCACCACAGCCUCAUCGGUCACUGCAAACUUCUUUGCCUUUGCUAUGAUGACCGUGUAUCCACCCUCCGCGCUAGGCACGAACUCAGCACCAUAGCUCACUUCCCAUCCCAACACACGAAACUCCCAUACAAGAGUGGUUCCCUCAGUAACAGGAAUUUCUACCGU